rnacentral:rRNA from 1 species
GCAGUCGAACGGCAGCACGGGGGCAACCCUGGUGGCGAGUGGCGAACGGGUGAGUAAUACAUCCAAACGUGUCCUGUAGUGGGGGAUAGCCCGGCGAAAGCCGGAUUAAUACCGCAUACGAUCUGUGGAUGAAAGCGGGGGAUCUUCGGACCUCGCGCUACAGGGGCGGCCGAUGGCAGAUUAGCUAGUUGGUGGGGUAAAGGCCUACCAAGGCGACGAUCUGUAGCUGGUCUGAGAGGACGACCAGCCACACUGGGACUGAGACACGGCCCAGACUCCUACGGGAGGCAGCAGUGGGGAAUUUUGGACAAUGGGCGCAAGCCUGAUCCAGCAAUGCCGCGUGUGUGAAGAAGGCCUUCGGGUUGUAAAGCACUUUUGUCCGGAAAGAAAACCUCUUGGUUAAUACCUGAGGGGGAUGACGGUACCGGAAGAAUAAGCACCGGCUAACUACGUGCCAGCAGCCGCGGUAAUACGUAUGGUGCAAGCGUUAAUCGGAAUUACUGGGCGUAAGCGUGCGCAGCGGUUCGCUAAACAGAUGUGAAAUCCCGGGCUUACCUGAACUGCAUUUGUGACUGGCGGCUAAGUAUG